UACGGCGGGAGCUAGCGUUGUUCGGAAUUACUGGGCGUAAAGCGCAUGUAGGCGGCUUUUUAAGUCAGGGGUGAAAUCCCGGGGCUCAACCCCGGAACUGCCCUUGAAACUGGGAAGCUAGAAUCUUGGAGAGGCGAGUGGAAUUCCGAGUGUAGAGGUGAAAUUCGUAGAUAUUCGGAAGAACACCAGUGGCGAAGGCGACUCGCUGGACAAGUAUUGACGCUGAGGUGCGAAAGCGUGGGGAGCAAACAGG
rnacentral:rRNA from 1 species